GAAAGAUGCAAAAGUCAUGGAUAGCUUUAAGAAAUAUCACAGAAUUGGAAAAACCAACCUUAGGUAACUUUCAUCUUGGUUGAUUUCUGGUUUAAAAACUUAUUAUUUUGAGGUGGCGUUGAUGUUCAUCUUCAUAUGGCUAGAUUUGAAGAGGCUAUUGCAGAUACUUUAGAUUAAUCAUUUAGUAUUUGUUGUUGACAGCGGUAACCAUUCCAUUGCAGAACCUCUUUCUAACUACGAGAAGCAAUUUGAUUUAUUUGCCAAAGAGAGGCACCUUUCACAAUUUGAGGGUUUUAAUUAGAAUGUUAAGCUUUUACUUGAAUUCCAGUAGCCCCUUCCAAGUGCAAAUGUUUCUCUUUUUCUUGAUGUUCAGAUUAUCUGCUCUAUGAUAUUUGCUUUGGGAGCAAUUCUCCUUAGUUAGAAUCUUAAGAAGCGUUACUUAAUGACUAUUUUUCCAUCGGAGGCAAUUUUAAGAAGCACACUUUUCAAGAUUUCUUAAAAGUCAAUUACAUUUUACAAUUGUUACUUCCUCUAAUGAAUAUUUUGAAUGACUCUCAGUAACUCGAUAUUAAUAAUUUUGCUGGUUUGUUCACAUGCUUACAUGUUAGGUUGCGUUGCUUGCCUUACAAUUCCAAGUAUUGCUUUCACCAAGGUGCUUAUGUUUUAGGGUAAAGUUGGAUUCUUUUUCAGCUUACUGAGAACUGAUGAACUUUCUAACUUGCCAUUUGAUAUAU
rnacentral:lncRNA from 1 species